UACCAGCGCCCCGAGUGGUCGGGACGAUUAUUGGGCCUAAAGCAUCCGUAGCCGGCCUUACAAGUCCUCCGUUAAAUCCAGCUGCUUAACAGAUGGGCUGCGGAGGAUACUAUAAGACUAGGAGGCAGGAGAGGCAAGCGGUACUCAGUGGGUAGGGGUAAAAUCCGUUGAUCCAUUGAAGACCACCAGUGGCGAAGGCGGCUUGCCAGAAUGCGCUCGACGGUGAGGGAUGAAAGCUGGGGGAGCAAACCGG
rnacentral:rRNA from 1 species